GGUUAAUGAUCAAAUUGGUUUCUGAAAGAUUGUACGAUUGUUAUUUUUGUUCCCGAAAAUUUUUUUUAAUCAAAUUAGUCCUCGAAAGAUUUGACAUCAAUCACGUUUGUCCUUCCAUUUAUGGGCUCACAGAUUCCGUUAACGACAGUACACGUGGACUGUUAAGUGACACCUAAGUAAGUCCAAAACGAAGCCAUAUUGCAAGAAUUCCUAUUACUGAAGUAACUCUCUCAUUCCCCUUCUCUCUUUCACUUUCACUUACACUUUUCUCCUUUUCACCCAAUACCAACGAAGAGUCACCGAAACAGAGUGAGAAGAAGAAGCUACUCUGAUCAGCCGUGCAAGCAAUAAUCAGCGACAUCGUUCGCAUUGCGAUCGCUCCUCCUCGUCGCGGUCUGAAGGCCACCAGUCUUCUGCGGUGGUAGGCGCCGUCUCCGGUGAGAGAUGAAAAAUCAUCCAAUGACAUUUGUUUUCCAUAAUGGUGGAAAAUUUAAGAAUGACGAAAGUGGAUCAAAAAUUUAUGAACCAGACAAUAUAAAGGUGUUAGCGGGAGUUAAAGGGGAUACGCUAGAUGUUUUCUUUGUAAAGGGAUAUUAUAAGGAGUUAGGAUAUUCAGAGGUGGACGGUUGUUGCUGGAAAGUACCCGGACGGUCGCUUGAAGUUAGGUUGAGGAAGUUAGAAGUAGAUGCUGAUUUGUUGGAAAUGGUGAAGGAUUGUAGAAGGAAUCACAAUUCGAUCAACAUUUAUUUUGUGCAUAGAGUCUCAGAGCCACGCAUGGUGGAGUGUAUGAGUGAGGAUGAUGAUGAGUUAGUUAUAUUAGAGACCUAGAGCACCUGUAACCCAAGGCCACAAAAACUUCCCAGUUGAAUAGGAGAUACUGUUUAAGGCCUAAAUCACAACCACUGUCCCAACUCAAACCACAGCCCAUGUCUAGGCCCAACAAUACACCACCAUAGCUAAAAUCCCAAUCCAAAACACAGCCCAUGUGUCAGCCAAAAUCACAACCCAAAUCACAGCUCAUGUCUCAGCCCAAAUCACAGCAUGAAACACAAUUUGUUCUUCACAACCAGCCCAUGAAAUCCUUAUCUCAACCAUCAAAGUCUUCUACCCAACCUUUGAAAGCUCAGUCCUAACUAUUGAAAACUCACAGCCAACCCUCAAGAUCUCAGCCUUUCAAGAAGUAUGUUGUUAGAGAUAAAAAGAAAGAACCAGUGAAGGGAAGCAAUGUGAUAAAGACUGGUAGAGUUGUUAUCCCAGCUCCACUUCAGGAGGAUAGUAACUCUCAUGAUUCGUACGAGAGUACCGAAGAUAUUCUCUAUAAGCCUCCAAAGAUUUUGGGAGAUGGAUAUGAGAGUUCUAGUGAUAGUGAUAAUGGGGUUGUUGCUGCCAAGAAUUCAGGUUCAAAGAAACAUGGAAACAAGGAGAAGUCUAGGCCUACAUCUCACAGAUCCACUAAUAAGGCAAUUGAUACGGAUGACUCUAGUUAUGAGGAUAUUGAAGAUGAUGAGAUAUCGGAUUCAGGUGACAUGCAAUGAACUUUGUUAUAUUAUUUAUAGUGUUAUGUUACAAAUUUUAUUUAUGAAACUGAUUAGUAAAUACCUUUUGUUAUCAAUUUUUUAGGAU